AUGAGGCGCCGGAUCCGGGCGUGGCCUGGGCUGGGCGUGGCGCUCUGGGGCAUGGAGAAAGAAAGACACAGUACCCAGUCCAAGUUACAAAGUGUUUGUUGUGAUUAUUAUUUACAUUUAUUUCAUCUCCGGAUGGUCAUGACCCUGUUGGAGUGCGGGGGGGACCUCCAGCUCCCCGGGGCGUCCCUGACUCUGCUCUGCCAUGGGAAUGGAUUCACUUUCGGGGAUUAUGGAAUGUUCUGGACUCGCCAGAGCCCUGGGAAGGCGCUGGAAUGGGUCGCAGGAAUCAAGAAUGAUGGCAGUUACACCCGGUACGCGCCGUCCGUGCAGGGCCGGUUCACGAUCUCCAGGGACAACGGGCAGAGCUCGGUGACGUUGACCAUGAACAACCUCAAGGACGAGGAUUCCGCCAUUUAUUUCUGCGGCAAAAGUGCUGGUGCUGCUGGUGAUCACGCUGUUGCUGAAUCUGGUGAUGGUGUCGAUCCCUUCCCAGUCACUGUGCCCUGCCCCUGUCCCCAAAUGUCGUUCAUGGUCAGCGACAUCGAGCUCUGCCCGUUGUCCCUGGAACUGGAGAACCGGCCCUUGACCAACGGCGUGUAG